rnacentral:rRNA from 1 species
UACGUAGGGGGCAAGCGUUGUCCGGAAUUAUUGGGCGUAAAGAGCUCGUAGGCGGUUCGGCAAGUCGGAUGUGAAAUCUCCACGCUUAACGUGGAGGGGCCAUUCGAAACUGCCGUGACUCGAGUCCGGUAGGGGAGUGCGGAAUUCCCGGUGUAGCGGUGAAAUGCGCAGAUAUCAGGAGGAACACCGGUGGCGAAGGCGGGUCUCUGGGCCGAUACUGACGCUGAGGAGCGAAAGCGUGGGGAGCGAACAGG